GACGAACGCUGGCGGCGCGCCUAACACAUGCAAGUCGAACGAGCGAGAGAGAGCUUGCUUUCUCAAGCGAGUGGCGAACGGGUGAGUAACGCGUGAGGAACCUGCCUUAAAGAGGGGGACAACAGGUUGGAAACGACUGCUAAUACCGCAUAAGCCCACAGUUCGGUCAUCGAGCAGAGGGAAAAGGAGUGAUCCGCUUUGAGAUGGCCUCGCGUCCGAUUAGCUAGUUGGUGAGGUAACGGCCCACCAGGGCGACGAUCAGUAGCCGGACUGAGAGGUUGACCGGCCACAUUGGGACUGAGAUACGGCCCAG
rnacentral:rRNA from 1 species